UGGGUGGAUGGAGGAAUCAUCUUGUAGUUUUUGCAGUUGUAAAUCCCCUUCCUUCCUUGCUGUUGAUAAACCAUGCGUCCGCCUGUCCUCUUGUCUCUUGUUCUCCUUCUUGUCGUAUGCCUUGCCUGGGCUACUACCACACACUGUGAAGGAAUGAUGAUGAACGUGGAUAAUGGUGGUGGUAAGGAGAAGGAGAAGGAGAAGAUCAGCUUACCAUACGGGUUGUGCGUCCA